GACGAACGCUGGCGGCGUGCCUAAUACAUGCAAGUAGAACGCUGAAGGAGGAGCUUGCUUCUCUGGAUGAGUUGCGAACGGGUGAGUAACGCGUAGGUAACCUGCCUGGUAGCGGGGGAUAACUAUUGGAAACGAUAGCUAAUACCGCAUAAGAGUAGAUGUUGCAUGACAUAUGCUUAAAAGGUGCAAUUGCAUCACUACCAGAUGGACCUGCGUUGUAUUAGCUAGUUGGUGAGGUAACGGCUCACCAAGGCAACGAUACAUAGCCGACCUGAGAGGGUGAUCGGCCACACUGGGACUGAGACACGGCCCAGACUCCUACGGGAGGCAGCAGUAGGGAAUCUUCGGCAAUGGACGGAAGUCUGACCGAGCAACGCCGCGUGAGUGAAGAAGGUUUUCGGAUCGUAAAGCUUCUGUUUGUAAGAGGAAGAACGA
rnacentral:rRNA from 1 species